rnacentral:misc_RNA from 1 species
UCACAGUUCACUGCCCCGUUAGCAGGAAACCCUGGUGGUACUGAUCUGCUUGGAAGUGAAAAUCCUUGUGGAGAUGUGGGAACUUUGGAAACAGAAAAUUUAGAAGCUAAAAAAGGAUGGCUGCUUAGAGAACUAUUGGAUUCCAGAGAACUACCAUUUGAAAUAUCAUAAUGUCUGUCCAUGCAAAAGUCCUUUUUCUCAUUAGAAUGACAAAAAGUAGAUGAAUUGCAGAUUGCAUCAGCAACCGAAUGCCCAAAAUUAGACUCUUGGUUAAAGAAAUCAUCCUGUCUGGCAAAUGAGAACCUUGACUGAUUGCUAUCUUGUAUUUUUCUUAAACUUGGUAUUCUCAGGGAACUAUACUGUCCAUCAGUUUCAGCCAGCAAAUUAACUAAACUCUGAGGUGAUGUCAAUGUAUUUUCCCAUGCAUCAAAAUCCAUAGAUAGAAUACUUGAGAUAAUGUUGUUUUCCCCUCUAUCUGGAGCAACUUCAUUGUUAGCACUACCUUCAGUAUCAUCACAUCCUUCCAAGUACUUCCCUAAUCCCUUGUCAGUCAAGACAUUAGAAUAAUUAGAAGUCCCAUCCAUUUGCAGGCCACUACUAGGUUGGUUGUC